rnacentral:sRNA from 20 species
ACGACCGAUUGUAAAGCUAUAAAUGUCUCAUUAUAAUAAUUUUGAUUUAAUAAUCAAAAUGGAAUUAUAAUAUAAU